rnacentral:misc_RNA from 1 species
UCUCCGUUGGUGAACCAGCGGAGGGAUCAUUACAGAGUUCCACAUCUCCCAACCCCUGCGAACCGCACCCCAGUUUGUUCUCGUUGCCUCCUGGCGGCGGGCCCCCUGCGCCACCGCCUGGACACCCGCCAGCAGCGGCGACCCCACUGAACCUUUUACUCUCAACCAGCCCGUCUGAGUAAAAAAACAAAUGACACAAAACUUUCACCAACGGAUCUCAUGGUUCUGGCACGCAUCAGGAACGCAGCAGAUCCGAAUAAACCACGGUUGAACACCUGC